GAAAUGCGAUAAGUAAUGUGAAUUGCAGAAUUCAGUGAAUCAUCGAAUCUUUGAACGCACAUUGCGCCCGCCAGCACUCUGGCGGGCAUGCCUGUUCGAGCGUCAUUUCAACCAUCAAGCCCCGCGCUUGUGUUGGGGACCUGCGGCUGCCGCAGGCCCUGAAAACCAGUGGCGGGCUCGCUGUCACACCGGGCGUAGUAGAUUUUAUCUCGCUCAGGGCGUGCUGCGGGUUCCGGCCGUUAAAAAGCCUUUUUUACCCAAGGUUGACCUCGGAUCAGGUAGGAAGACCCGCUGAACUUAAGC
rnacentral:misc_RNA from 1 species